AACACAUGCAGUUUAUAGAGGAAUUUCACUUAGCACCCUCCACCUAGCAACCUUCACCUAGCAAUCUCCAUUUAACACAAAACAAAGGGCCUGGAUCCCUUGUAUGGCCUGCAUUCCAAGGGAAUGGCUGGGGAUUCAGAUGUCCUUCAUAGAUAAGGAGUGAAACUCUGGGUUGUCUACUCCUGGACCCCUUAGCUCAGGACUCCAAACACACAUUCUUCUUAGACCAUAGGGUCAUUCUCAGGGUAUGCUUCAGUUAUAGUUGUCAGGUGCCUCUGCCAUGUACCAACUAUAAUUUAUGUCUGUUUACUCUUGGAGAUACAUUUUCAGUUGGUGGGGUCAGAAGUGAGGAGACAUUAUCUCUCAGAAGAAAGAAUAUGACUGAGGGAUAUGACUGAGGGUUAUAUGGCAGAAGAAGAGACCAAGUAGGACCCACAGGUCAAAUAGCAAACUCAACCAACCAAGUAUGAAAAUGACGCAAUAAAGAGAAGAAAAAGUUAAAGUACUUGACAAAAUGAGAUAUGCUGCCACAAUUUUGAACUUUACUUCUUAUGAGAAGGCCCAGGUCAGUUCUGAAUUUCUUUGGAAUUUGUUUACAUUUUAAGAUAUAGUCAUUUGUUCUUCA